GCAAGUCGAGGGGUAAAAGGGAGCUUGCUACGCUGAGGACCGGCGCACGGGUGCGUAACGCGUAAAGAACCUACCUUUUACUGAGGGAUAGCCUUUAGAAAUGAUGAUUAAUAACUCAUAGUAUUGAUUAAUCGCAUGAUUAAUUAAUUAAAGAUUUAUUGGUAAAAGAUGGCUAUGCGUCCUAUUAGCUAGAUGGUAAGGUAACGGCUUACCAAGGCGACGAUAGGUAGGGGUCCUGAGAGGGAGAUC
rnacentral:rRNA from 1 species